GACGAACGCUGGCGGCGUGCUUAACACAUGCAAGUCGAACGGAAAGGCCCUUCUUUGGUGGUGUGCUCGAGGGGCGAACGGGUGUGUAACACGAGAAUAACCUGCCCGUGACUGUGGUAUAACUUCAGGAAACUGGGGCUUAUAGCGUAUAGGAGCUCCUGGUGCGUGGGGGGGGGUGGAGAGUUGGGGGGGUUGGGGAUGGACGCGCGGCUUAUGAGCUUGUUGGUGGGGGAGUGGCUUACCAUGGCUUUGACGGGGAGCCGGCCUGGGAGGGUGACCGGCAACAUUGGGACUGAGUUACGGCCCAGACUCCUACGGGAGGAAGAAGUGGGGAAUAUUGAACAAUGGGCGGAAGCCUGAUCCAGCACCGCGGCGUGCGGGAUGCCGGCCUUCGGUUUGUAACCCGCUUUCGCCUGUGACGAAGCGUGAGUGACGGUAGUGGGUAAAGAAGCACCGGCUAACUACGUG
rnacentral:rRNA from 1 species